UGGGGAAUAUUGCGCAAUGGGCGAAAGCCUGACGCAGCGACGCCGCGUGGGGGAUGACGGCCUUCGGGUUGUAAACCUCUUUCGACCGGGACGAAGCGUGAGUGACGGUACCGGUAGAAGAAGCACCGGCCAACUACGUGCCAGCAGCCGCGGUAAUACGUAGGGUGCGAGCGUUGUCCGGAAUUAUUGGGCGUAAAGAGCUCGUAGGCGGUGUGUCGCGUCGGUCGUGAAAACUUGGGGCUUAACCCUGAGCGUGCGGUCGAUACGGGCAUCACUUGAGUUCGGCAGGGGAGACUGGAAUUCCUGGUGUAGCGGUGAAAUGCGCAGAUAUCAGGAGGAACACCGGUGGCGAAGGCGGGUCUCUGGGCCGAUACUGACGCUGAGGAGCGAAAGCGUGGGGAGCGAACAGGAUUAGAUACCC
rnacentral:rRNA from 1 species